GGCAGGAUGGAAAGCAACAGCAUCAGUGGCAACGGGAAUGAGUGCUGGAAGUGUUGGUGGCUGCUGGUGGUGACCCUUGGUUCUUCUCCUGGUAGACACCUUCACACCUCCGGGGAGGCGGAACAAUGCAAUCCUCACUUUGAAAUCAAUUUGGUUCGAUCCGAACGUGACUUUCCAGCUGGAGAAGGGAGAGAAUGCUAUUUUGGCUGAACCUUGAGUGAUUGGUGGAAUUGGGGCACCUGCUGGCAUUCUUACAACCCCCUGCUGCCUGUUUUUACCUGAGCUGGGAGCAUCAGCCUCGUGGUGAAUCCCAUCAAAACCUUCAGGCUCUGUUCUGCUCUGCUUCUUGCCAAGCUGAAAGGAGGGUCAGCUGGAGUUUCUUUCUCUUCUGGAGAUCUCAGGGGCAGAGGAAGUGGCACCAAAUAUGUGGACCAGAUGUCUUCAAAUAGAGGCCCUGCAUUUUGCGUGAGUUUAUUCAGCUAUUCCUUUUCUCCCCCCCCCCCGGGGGAAGGUAAUUACGUUUAUUUGUUUGUUUGUUUGUUUGUUUGUUUGUUUGUUUGUGGCAGUACUGGGGAUUGAACCAGCGCAUGCCUAGCCACUACCAGCUACCUCUGAGCUAUACCUUCCCCUCAACCGUUCCCUUUUAUCUCCACUCCCCACUCCUAUUUCCAACUCCCACUGGCAAACAUUUUCAUGUGUUUAAUGUACGUUAU